rnacentral:antisense_RNA from 1 species
UCUCAUCUAAAGCUUCUUUUCCUAAUUUUCCAUUAUUUUUUAUAUAUACUUCAUAGAAUGGUUGCAUAGCUUUUCUAAAUGGUUCUAAAUCUGGAGUUGUAACUGUUACCCCUUG